AAGGGCCAUUAACCCUUUCUCUGCCGGGCACACUCAGUCCCCACGCCCCACACCUAUUGUCUCCUGUGCUAGAAGCUUUGCAGAAAACCUGGAAAGGGAAAUCCUGAAAUAAAGAAAUGGUCACACAAGUGUCUGGGAUGAAACAGCUGGCCUGUCUAUAUUCAUCCUGAGACACACGACUGCAUAUAAAUACAUGUUUAAUAAAGUAAGUUGCUAGUUUUAUGGGCAUGUGUGUGUGUGAGAGAGAGAGACAGGGCAUUUGUGCUGUAAACUUUAUCUUUGCCUGUUACUCCUAAGUCUGGAGUUAGUAAUCUUGCCUUCAUCAUUACAGGGGGAGCAUGUAAAAUAUAUCAGUAGGUGGGAGAUAAACACAUUCAUGUUAGCCGGGCUCAUCACUGUUCCUGGGAACUCCUGCUAUCUCUCUCUCGACUUUUCAGUGCCAAAGUAUGGAAUGGGAUAUAUGUGCGUAUGUGUCUUCUAUUAAAUCCAUGUCUAUAUUACUUUGCCACUAAAAAUACAAUUUUAAAAGUUAUCCUAAUUUAAAACCCUGAUAUCCUGACAGCAGUUUUCUUCCCAGCUGUAGUGCCCCCCCCCCCCUCCACUUUGGUAAACGACUCAAGUUCCAUGAGGACUUUCACUUCUUUAUUUAUAAUCACAGAAGUGAGGUGUUACUUCACACACAUACACACACAAAGAAUGAAAUAAAGAAAUGAAACUCGCUAAGCAGACAAAAACAGACAACUUUCUGCUUAGAAAACAGCCUUCUCGGUGGGAGAGGAUGAACUGCCAUGUCUAAGAGAAAGACUUGCCCCCGAAUUUGUAGGUCUGUAACUGACCAAGUUUUGUAAUUAUUAACAGGUAUUUGCCAAGUCCUAAUUGCUGAAUAUAAUGAAUUGGAACUAGACACGAAAAUAGAGCAGGACCUCUCCCCUUGAUGAGUUUUUAUUCCAGCCAUAUAAUUCUCAAUAAAACUUUUCCUGGGCUGGAUAGCAAAGGACACCUUUGGUUACCUGAAUGGACAGGUACAGGGGAAAUUAUUUGGGGGAGGGAAAAAGGAGAGAAAAGCAAGGAGAGAGAGUGUGAGUGUAAGAGAAAGCGAAGAAGCCACUCUUGAGAAAAGCUUGCCAUAAAGGAGCUAAACCCACCUGAAAUUCCUACCCACGGACACCCCUUCUCACUUCAGACUCACAUCCCCACUCAAAAUGAGAAAAUUAGAAAAGGAGGAUGGAGGACGAGCACACCAAAAAGGGAUAAAAAGAGAGAAAAGGGGAGGAAAAAAAACCUACCUGCGAAGUCUUGUUUGUAGUUUUGGCCAGAAAUGGUGAGAAGAAAAAGCAUGAAGAAGCCGCGAAGUGUGGGGGAGAAAAAGGUGGAAGCGAAGAAACAGCUCCCGGAGCAAACUGUACAAAAACCUCGCCAAGAGUGUCGGGAGGCAGGACCGUUAUUCCUGCAGAGCAGGAGAGAGACGAGAGACCCUGAAACACGCGCCACCUAUCUUUGUGGGGAGGGAUAAUUGAAGCGCCCUGAGCGUGAGCAUCAUGU